UACGAAGGGGGCGAGCGUUGUUCGGAGUUACUGGGCGUAAAGGGCGCGUAGGCGGCCUAUCAAGUCAGAUGUGAAAGCCCCGGGCUUAACCUGGGAAUGGCAUUGGGACUGGUAGGCUUGAGAGAGGGAGAGGUAAGUGGAAUUCCCCAGUGUAGAGGUGAAAUUCGUAGAUAUUGGGAAGAACACCGGUGGCGAAGGCGGCUUACUGGACCUCAUCUGACGCUGAGGCGCGAAAGCGUGGGGAGCAAACAGG
rnacentral:rRNA from 1 species